AUGCUCUGUGUGUGUGUGCAGUGCAUGUGAAUAUGGGUUUGGGCUUAAGCCCAAACCCUUUUUUCACCUAUUAGACCCUAACCCACUCAACCCCAAAACCCAUUUCCAUUUCCUAAAAUUCCAUCUUUUGGGUAGUUUAUUAAAUUGUACAUUUUCGUGCUUAGGUGAAGUUGCUAGUGGAGACUUCCUUAAUCAUUUUCCGCACAAUUCUGCUGUUACGGAGUAUCUGUCUUAGAAACGAGGCAUAGAAUCCCGGCAUCAAGGCACUUCCGCAUCGGCAUCUUCGUGUCCUUUCGGAGUAUGACCCAUUCCUUCAUUGAUUUAAUUUUAUCUUAAUUCUUUUUAGUGAUUAGGUUUAGUUGUGUGCUAUGUACACGUUCUUAAAUUAUUAAUUCAUUGUUUUUAAAUUCA